rnacentral:rRNA from 1 species
AUUGAACGCUGGCGGCAGGCCUAACACAUGCAAGUCGAGCGGAUGAAGGGAGCUUGCUCCUGGAUUCAGCGGCGGACGGGUGAGUAAUGCCUAGGAAUCUGCCUGGUAGUGGGGGAUAACGUCCGGAAACGGGCGCUAAUACCGCAUACGUCCUGAGGGAGAAAGUGGGGGAUCUUCGGACCUCACGCUCUCAGAUGAGCCUAGGUCGGAUUGGCUAGUUGGUGGGGUAAAGGCCUACCAAGGCGACGAUCCGUAACUGGUCUGAGAGGAUGAUCAGUCACACUGGAACUGAGACACGGUCCAGACUCCUACGGGAGGCAGCAGUGGGGAAUAUUGGACAAUGGGCGAAAGCCUGAUCCAGCCAUGCCGCGUGUGUGAAGAAGGUCUUCGGAUUGUAAAGCACUUUAAGUUGGGAGGAAGGGAAGUAAGUUAAUACCUUGCUGUUUUGACGUUACCAACAGAAUAAGCACCGGCUAACUUCGUG